CCUACGGGAGGCUGCAGUCGAGAAUCAUUCACAAUGGGGGAAACCCUGAUGGUGCGACGCCGCGUGGGGGAAUGAAGGUCUUCGGAUUGUAAACCCCUGUCAUGUGGGAGCAAAUUAAAAAGAUAGUACCACAAGAGGAAGAGACGGCUAACUCUGUGCCAGCAGCCGCGGUAAUACAGAGGUCUCAAGCGUUGUUCGGAAUCACUGGGCGUAAAGCGUGCGUAGGCUGUUUCGUAAGUCGUGUGUGAAAGGUGCGGGCUCAACCCGCGGACGGCACAUGAUACUGGGAGACUAGAGUAAUGGAGGGGGAACCGGAAUUCUCGGUGUAGCAGUGAAAUGCGUAGAUAUCGAGAGGAACACUCGUGGCGAAGGCGGGUUCCUGGACAUUAACUGACGCUGAGGCAUGAAGGCCAGGGGAGCGAAAGGGAUUAGAUACCCUGGUAGUC
rnacentral:rRNA from 1 species